rnacentral:rRNA from 1 species
AUUGAACGCUGGCGGCAUGCCUUACACAUGCAAGUCGAACGGCAGCACGGGGCAACCUGGUGGCGAGUGGCGAACGGGCGAGUAAUGCAUCGGAACGUACCUUUCAGUGGGGGAUAACGUAGCGAAAGUUACGCUAAUACCGCAUAUUCUGUGAGCAGGAAAGCAGGGGAUGGCAAGAAAUUGCGGCGAUUGAGCGGCCGAAGUCAGAUUAGCUAGUUCGUGAGGUAAAGGCUCACCAUGGCGACGAUCUGUAGCGGGUCUGAGAGGAUGAUCCGCCACACUGGAACUGAGACACGGUCCAGACUCCUACGGGAGGCAGCAGUGGGGAAUUUUGGACAAUGGGGGCAACCCUGAUCCAGCCAUGCCGCGUGAGUGAAGAAGGCCUUCGGGUUGUAAAGCUCUUUCGGCCGGGAAGAAAUCGCACGGGCUAAUACCCUGUGUGGAUGACGGUACCGGAAUAAGAAGCACCGGCUAACUACGUGCCAGCCGCCGCAGUAAUAC